rnacentral:rRNA from 1 species
UAGAGUUUGAUCAUGGCUCAGAUUGAACGCUGGCGGCAGGCCUAACACAUGCAAGUCGAACGGUAACAGGAAGCAGCUUGCUGCUUCGCUGACGAGUGGCGGACGGGUGAGUAAUGUCUGGGAAGCUGCCUGAUGGAGGGGGAUAACUACUGGAAACGGUAGCUAAUACCGCAUAAUGUCGCAAGACCAAAGAGGGGGACCUUCGGGCCUCUUGCCAUCGGAUGUGCCCAGAUGGGAUUAGCUUGUUGGUGGGGUAACGGCUCACCAAGGCGACGAUCCCUAGCUGGUCUGAGAGGAUGACCAGCCACACUGGAACUGAGACACGGUCCAGACUCCUACGGGAGGCAGCAGUGGGGAAUAUUGCACAAUGGGCGCAAGCCUGAUGCAGCAGCCGCGGUAAUAC